UGGGCCCAUAAUAAAAAAUCUAAGUACAUUUUUGGAUUCAGCAUAUCAAAGAACUUCAAGAUUUCAAUUUUUGUUAAAAUCAGACUAAGUUUAAUUUUGGACCCUUUGGACUUUAGUGUAGACCAAUUUGAAAACAGGACCAAAAAUGAAGAAUCUACAUAUACAGUUAGAUUUGGUAUAUCAAAGAACCCCAUUUAUUCAAUUUUUGAUGAAAUCAAACAAAGUUUAAUUUUGGACCCCGAUUUGGACCAACUUGAAAACUGGGCCAAUAAUCAAGAAUCUAAGUACAUUUUUAGAUUCAGCAUAUCAAAGAACCUAACUGAUUCAUUUUUUGUCAAAAUCAAACUAAGUUUAAUUUUGGACCUUUUGGACCUUAAUGUAGACCAAUUUGAAAACGGGACCAAAAGUUAAGAAUCUACAUACACAGUCAUGACAGUUAGAUUCAGCAUAUCAAAGAACCCCAAUUAUUCAAUUUUGAUGAAAUCAAACAAAAGUUUAAUUUUGGACCCUUUGGGCCCCUUAUUAUGUUGGGACCAAAACUCCCAAAAUCAAACCCAACCUUUCUUUUAUGGUCAUAAACCUUGUGUUUAAAUUUCAUAGAUUUCUAUUAACUUAUACUAACGUUAUGGUGCGAAAACCAAGAAAAAUGCUUAUUUGGGUCCCUUUUUGGCCCCUAAUUCCUAAACUGUUGGGACCUAAACUCCCAAAAUCAAUACCAACCUUCCUUUUGUAGUCAUUAACAUUGUGUUUAAAUUUCAUUGAUUU
rnacentral:lncRNA from 1 species